rnacentral:lncRNA from 1 species
UUGAGCUCAUGUGCACAAUGACAAAGUGACAUGGGGGUUUGAACCCCAUGUUUGUGUCAUGCACAUCAACUUCAUAACCACUACUACCAAGCUAUCCACACAAACAACAUACCAUGCCCUCUCACAUAUGGACAUGUGAAGGUGCAUAGCUUUGCUUGCAAAGGUGGGGUGUCCCACACACACACACAUCAAAACAUGUUCUUGGACAACACCAAAUAUUGCACCUAUUUAGAUCACUCAAGUAGGGAGCUCAUCCACCACAAACACAUGCUCACAAAUUAGAAGUACAUGAACU